AGAGUUUGAUCCUGGCUCAGGAUGAACGCUAGCGGCAGGCCUAACACAUGCAAGUCGAGGGGUAACGAUGGCUUCGGCCAGGCGACGACCGGCGUACGGGUGAGUUCCGCGUUUGUAACCUACCUCUAACUGGAGCAUAGCUCCCGGAAACGGGAAUUAAUUCUCCAUAAUAUUUAAACAUGGCAUCAUGUUUUCAUUAAAGCUCCGGCGGUUAGAGAUGGGCAUGCGUGACAUUAGCUUGUUGGUAAGGUAACGGCUUACCAAGGCUACGAUGUCUCGGGGGUCUGAGAGGAUGAUCCCCCACACUGGUACUGAGACACGGACCAGACUCCUACGGGAGGCAGCAGUGAGGAAUAUUGGGCAAUGGACGCAAGUCUGACCCAGCCAUGCCGCGUGCAGGAUGAAUGCCCUAUGGGUUGUAAACUGCUUUUAUACAGGAAGAAACCCUCUGACGUGUCAGAGGUUGACGGUACUGUAAGAAUAAGCAUCGGCUAACUCCGUGCCAGCAGCCGCGGUAAUACGGAGGAUGCAAGCGUUAUCCGGAUUUAUUGGGUUUAAAGGGUGCGUAGGCGGGGCAAUUAGUCAGUGGUGAAAUCCUGCGGCUUAACCGUAGAACUGCCAUUGAUACUGUUGCCCUUGAGUAUAGUUGAGGUGGGCGGAAUGUGUAAUGUAGCGGUGAAAUGCAUAGAGAUUACACAGAACACCAAUUGCGAAGGCAGCUCACUAAGCUAUAACUGACGCUAAGGCACGAAAGCGUGAGGAGCGACAGGAUUAGAUACCCUGGUAGUCCACGCUGUAAACGAUGAUCACUCGUUGUUGGCAAUACAUCGUCAGCGACUGAGCGAAAGCAUUAAGUGAUCCACCUGGGGAGUACGAUCGCAAGAUUGAAACUCAAAGGAAUUGACGGGGGCCCGCACAAGCGGAGGAACAUGUGGUUUAAUUCGAUGAUACGCGAGGAACCUUACCUGGGCUUAAAUGCAAAACGACACCCCGAGAAAUCGGGGUUCCCUUCGGGGCGAAUUGCAAGGUGCUGCAUGGCUGUCGUCAGCUCGUGCCGUGAGGUGUCGGGUUAAGUCCCAUAACGAGCGCAACCCCUAUUGUUAGUUGCCAGCGGAUAAUGCCGGGGACUCUAACGAAACUGCCAGUGUAAACUGUGAGGAAGGUGGGGAUGACGUCAAGU
rnacentral:rRNA from 1 species